GACUGAGUCAACCAGAAACAGGAGUGCUAACCUGGUGUCUGCUGAUGAAAUGUUUCUUCUGGAUCCUGCAGGUGAAUGAAGACAACAAGCCCAGCUGCUCCAAACAGCAAGAUGAAGGAGAACAGACAUGUCAGCCUCAUAAUUAUUGUUCUCAGAUCAAUCCAGUUUGGACCCAGGAAAAGAACUGCACGCAAUCUCCAGAGCGCUCUUCACUCAUAGUCUCGUCCUCUCAUCUGGAAGUCUGGCAUAAUAUACCUACAAAAGGUUUCCUGGCUACUCCAAAUAAAAACACCUUCUUUCAGAAGAUUCAGAGCAACUGCAGUGAGCUGGACUUCCAGAAGUACCAAACAGGGAGAAACGGAUUCUGGCAUCCUUUAGUCUGAACACUGUCAACUCUUAUUGUAAGAAUAAGGAGAGAAGCUCAAGCACUAUGCAGCAGUCAGAGUGUAUUUACCUCUUCCUUUGACACUUGGCCAGAGCUGGAGGGCAGAAAGGAGAGGACAUGCUCAUGUAGCACAUGCUGUCAUUACAGAUUAUAAUUUUCCCUAUUUAAGAAGUACGUCAUUAUUCUCAUGUACACCCAAACUGCUGUGGCAAUUUUGAAGACACCAAAAAUGCAAAAUCAGGCCUUCAGUGUGAGAGAGAACAUUCUUUACCAUGCAGGCGAACCAGUAG